GAUGAAGAACGCAGCGAACUGCGAUAAGUAAUGCGAAUUGCAGAAUUCAGUGAAUCAUCGAGUCUUUGAACGCACAUUGCGCCCCCUGGCAUUCCGGGGGGCAUGCCUGUCCGAGCGUCAUUUCUGCCCAUCAAGCGCGGCUUGUGUGUUGGGUCGUCGUCUCCUCCGGGAGACGGGCCCGAAAGGCAGCGGCGGUACCGUCCGGUCCUCGAGCGUAUGGGAGCUUUGUCACCCGCUCGAUUAGGGCCCGGUCGGCGCCAGCCGUCAACCCCAAUUUUUAUUCAGGUUGACCUCGGAUCAGGUAGGGAUACCCGCUGAACUUAAGCAUAUCAAUAAGCGGAGGA
rnacentral:misc_RNA from 1 species